UCAAACUUGGUCAUUUAGAGGAAGUAAAAGUCGUAACAAGGUCUCCGUAGGUGAACCUGCGGAGGGAUCAUUAACGAGCCCGUGCCCUACCAGGGGCGGACCUCCAACCCGCUGUCAUCCUCACGACCGUUGCUUUGGCGGGCCGUCAGGCCCCCUGCUGCCGGCCCCGGCCGGCGUGCGCCCGCCAGAGGCCCCCAGACCCUCAACGUCGGUGUCGUCCGAGCAAAGCGUAAUCGUCAAAACUUUCAACAACGGAUCUCUUGGUUCUGGCAUCGAUGAAGAACGCAGC
rnacentral:misc_RNA from 1 species